UACGUAGGUGGCAAGCGUUGUUCGGAAUUACUGGGCGUAAAGCGUGUGUAGGCGGUCCGCUAAGUCGGGUGUGAAAGCCCUGGGCUCAACCCAGGAAGUGCACUCGAAACUGGCGGGCUAGAGUACUGGAGAGGUUGGUGGAAUUCUCGGUGUAGAGGUGAAAUUCGUAGAUAUCGAGAGGAACACCAGUGGCGAAGGCGGCCAACUGGACAGAUACUGACGCUGAGACACGAAAGCGUGGGGAGCAAACAGG
rnacentral:rRNA from 1 species